AUUGAACGCUGGCGGCAUGCCUUACACAUGCAAGUCGAACGGUAACGCGGGGCAACCUGGCGACGAGUGGCGAACGGGUGAGUAAUACAUCGGAACGUGCCCAGUAGUGGGGGAUAGCCCGGCGAAAGCCGGAUUAAUACCGCAUACGACCUACGGGUGAAAGCGGGGGAUCGCAAGACCUCGCGCUAUUGGAGCGGCCGAUGUCGGAUUAGCUAGUUGGUGGGGUAAAGGCCUACCAAGGCAACGAUCCGUAGCUGGUCUGAGAGGACGACCAGCCACACUGGGACUGAGACACGGCCCAGACUCCUACGGGAGGCAGCAGUGGGGAAUUUUGGACAAUGGGCGCAAGCCUGAUCCAGCCAUGCCGCGUGCGGGAAGAAGGCCUUCGGGCUGUAAACCGCUUUUGUCAGGGAAGAAACGGUCUGGGCUAAUACCCCGGACUAAUGACGGUACCUGAAGAAUAAGCACCGGCUAACUACGUGCCAGCCGCCGCAGUAACAC
rnacentral:rRNA from 1 species